rnacentral:rRNA from 1 species
AGGGCGCAUGGCGGAUGCCUUGGCUCUCGGAGGCGAUGAAGGACGUGAUAAGCUGCGAUAAGCUCCGGGGAGGUGCAAAUAACCUUUGAUCCGGGGAUUUCCGAAUGGGACAACCCGGCGUGUUGAAGACACGCCACCUGAUCAUUUCAGGAGCUAACGCAGGGAACUGAAACAUCUUAGUACCUGCAGGAAAAGAAAAUAACAAUGAUUCCCCCAGUAGUGGCGAGCGAACGGGGAAUAGCCCAAACCGUUCAUGUUACGGCAUGAUCGGGGUUGUAGGACUACGUCGUUGCAUGAAGACAUCGGAGAAGAACUUUCUGGAAAGAAAGACCAUAGAGCAUGACAGUUGCGUAUUCGUAUGUUGUCGAAGCAUAGUAGUAUCCUGAGUAGCGCGGAGCACGAGGAAUUCUGCGUGAAUCUGCCGGGACCAUCCGGUAAGGCUAAAUACUCCCGAGAGACCGAUAGCGAACCAGUACCGUGAGGGAAAGGUGAAAAGCACUUCGAACAGAAGAGUGAAAUAGUUCCUGAAACCGUGCGCCUACAAGCGGUCGGAGCUGCUUAAAGCAGUGACGGCGUGCCUUUUGCAUAAUGAACCUACGAGUUGCCUUUGCCGGCAAGGUUAAGUGUGACGACACACGUAUCCGAAGCGAAAGCGAGUCUGAAUAGGGCGUAUAGUCGGCAGUGGCAGACGCGAAACCAAGUGAUCUACCCUUGGCCAGGUUGAAGGCUGGGUAACACCAGCUGGAGGACCGCACCAAUAAGCGUUGAAAAGCUUCUGGAUGAGCUGAGGGUAGGGGUGAAAGGCUAAUCAAACUUGGAGAUAGCUCGUACUCCCCGAAAUGCAUUUAGGUGCAGCCUUGUGGGUUACUGAUGUGAGGUAGAGCGACUGAUAAGAUGCGAGGGCUUCACCGCCUAUCAAGUCUUGACAAACUCCGAAUGCGCAUCAGUUUUACCUCAGGAGUGAGGGCAUGGGUGCUAAGGUCCGUGCCCGAGAGGAGAAGAAUCCGGACCACCUGCUAAGGUCCCGAAAUGACAGCUAAGUUAAACUAACGAAGUCUGACUGCUAAGACAGCUAGGAUGUUGGCUUGGAAGCAGCCAUUCAUUUAAAGAGUGCGUAACAGCUCACUAGUCGAGGAGUCUGGCGUGGAUAAUAAUCGGGUAUUAAGUUGUCUACCGAAGCAGUGGGAUCAUUGAAAUGAUCGGUAGGGGAGCAUUCCAGUCAGCGUCGAAGGCGUACCGCGAGGUAUUCUGGAGCGUCUGGAAAAGCAAAUGUAGGUAUAAGUAACGAUAAAGGGGGCGGGAAACCCCCUCGCCGAAAGACUAAGGUUUCCUGAUCAACGCUAAUCGGAUCAGGGUAAGUCGGGUCCUAAGGCUCAGCCGAAGGGCGAUGCCGAUGGCAGAAACGGUUAAUAUUCCGUUACUACCUCCAGGAGUGAUGUGGAGACGCAGUAGUGACAAUGCCGCCAUCUGACGGAAUAGAUGGUUGAAGGGUGUAGAUGUUGAUCUUGGCAGGCAAAUCCACCAUGAGAAUCGAACCUGAUAGUAUGCCGCGUCCCUCGGGACAAGGCAAUAGUGCAUGUAAUCAUGCUGCCAAGAAAAUCCGCUAAACAAAAUCCUGUAGGUACCCGUACCGUAAACGGACACACGUAGUCGGGAUGAAUAUUCUAAGGCGCUUGAGUGAUUCACGGUUAAGGAACUAGGCAAACUGACCCUGUAACUUCGGGAUAAAGGGUCCUCAGGGUGACUUGAGGCGCAGAGAAUCGGUCCAGGCAACUGUUUAACAAAAACACAGGGCUGUGCAAAAUAGAAAUAUGAAGUAUACAGCCUGACACCUGCCCGGUGCUGGAAGGUUAAGAGGAGAUGUCAUCGCAAGAGAAGCAUUGAAUUGAAGCCCCAGUAAACGGCGGCCGUAACUAUAACGGUCCUAAGGUAGCGAAAUUCCUUGUCGGGUAAGUUCCGACCUGCACGAAUGGUGUAAUGAUCUGGACGCUGUCUCAACCGUGAGCUCAGUGAAAUUGUAGUAUCGGUGAAGAUGCCGAUUACCCGCGAUGGGACGAAAAGACCCCGUGAACCUUUACUAUAGCUUAUCAUUGAAUCUGGGCACGUGAUGUGUAGGAUAGGUCGGAGGCUUUGAAGGGGGUACGCCAGUAUCCUUGGAGCCGCUGUUGAAAUACGACCCUUCAUUUGUUUGGAUUCUAACCCGUGUAUAUGGGGACACUGAUUGGUGGGUAGUUUGACUGGGGUGGUCGCCUCCAAAAGCGUAACGGAGGCUUCU